rnacentral:rRNA from 1 species
GACAGAGGGUGCAAACGUUGUUCGGAAUUACUGGGCGUAAAGCGCGUGUAGGCUGCUUCGCAAGUCGGGUGUGAAAGCCCCGGGCUCAACCUGGGAAUGGCAAUGGAUACUGGCAAGCUGGAGUGUGGCAGAGGGGGGGUGGAAUUCCACGUGUAGCAGUGAAAUGCGUAGAGAUGUGGAGGAACACCGAUGGCGAACGGCAGCCCCCUGGGCCAAUACUGACGCUCAUGCACGAAAGCGUGGGGGAGCAAACAGG